UACGGAGGAUGCGAGCGUUAUCCGGAUUUAUUGGGUUUAAAGGGUGCGCAGGCGGCGUGUCAAGUCAGCGGUAAAAUGUCGGGGCUCAACCCCGGCCGGCCGUUGAAACUGGCGUGCUCGAGUUGGAGAGAAGUAUGCGGAAUUCGUGGUGUAGCAGUGAAAUGCGUAGAUAUCGAGAGGAACACUCGUGGCGAAGGCGGGUUCCUGGACAUUAACUGACGCUGAGGCACGAAGGCCAGGGGAGCGAAAGGG
rnacentral:rRNA from 1 species